rnacentral:rRNA from 1 species
AACGAACGCUGGCGGCAUGCCUAACACAUGCAAGUCGAACGAGACCUUCGGGUCUAGUGGCGCACGUGUGCGUAACGCGUGGUAACCUGCCCUUAGGUUCGGAAUCACUCCCCGAAAGAGGUGCUAAUACCGGAUAAUGUCUUCGGACCAAAGAUUUAUCGCCUUUGGAUGGGGCCGGGUUAGAUUAGCUAGUUGGUAGGGUAAACGCCUACCAAGGCGACGAUCCAUAGCUGGUCUGAGAGGAUGAUCAGCCACAAUGGGAAUGAGGCACGGCCCACACUGCUACGGGACGCAGCAGAGGGGAAUAUUGGAGGAUGGGCGAUAGCCCGGUCCAGCAACGCCGCGUGAGUCAUCAAGGCGGUUGGGUUGCGAUGUUCUUUUACACGAGAUGAUAAUGACAGUACCGGGAGAAUAAGCUCCGGCUAACUCCGUG